rnacentral:tRNA from 1 species
UCCCUGAUAGCUCAGUUGGUAAAGAAUCUGCCUGCAAUGCAGGAGACCCUGGUUCAAUUCCUGGGUCAGGGAG